CUAUAUAAAUCCAUGUAAGUUAAGGAAUAAGAUUAAAUUUUAUCAGUUGCGCUGUCUGAUGGCUUGUCUGAUUAUUUGACGUAGAUGUACUGAUAAGAUCGCCUAAGAGGAGAAUUGUUCAACAUGUUUUGAAAAAUCAAGUCGUAGAUGAACUGAAGGGCUUUUUUGAGACAAAAUUAAAGGAAUUGAAGAGGGAUUUCCACGCUGACACAGAAUGGGUGGCAGAAUCUACCAUAAAGAAACAAUUUUCAGUCCUUUCGGAACUUUCGACGUGGAACCGGAAGUGUUUCAAUGGCGGGAAGAUUCACCAACAGAAGACCUGUCGUCUGCUACAUAUGUGGCCAAUCCGGGCACUUCGCUUCAGGAUGCGGCGCAGAAUUCACUUUCGGGUAACGACAAUACAUGUUUAGACGAACGUUGAUUAUACGUUUAACGUUUCAAUUUAUAAAGUGAGACGAAACUUUCAAAUUCACUUCGAUCUGUAUAUUGUUACACCAGUUUAUGUUUUGUUAAAUGACUGAGAUUACACAAACCCAUUCAGUUGAAGUAUGAAUUUUAGUUUGAUAACUGAACUUGAACAUAUGAUGUUUUGUGAAAGUACAUAUUUAUUCAGAUGAAAGCUGAAUUUCUUGUUAAUGACUGAACUUGAAUUUAUAGAUGAUUUUAGUUUAAAGUAAUGUUUGUACUUACAGGUUUGUUCAAGUGAAAGAUAAAUUGCUAUUUAUAAAUGCAAUUGCACUUAUAGACGUCUUUAGUUAAAUUACGUCUGAAUUUACAGAUUUAUUGAGAUAAAGAUGAAUUUCUAUUUUAUGACUGAACUUGAACGUACAUAUGUUUUCUGAACUUACAGAUUUAUUCAGGUGGAAAAAAGAUUUUCUUGUUAAUGACCGAACUUGAAUUCACAGAUGUUUUGAGUACAAAUUAACGUCUGAGCUUACAGAUUUAUUUAGAUGUAAAAUGAAUUUCUUGUUAAUGACUGAACUUGAAUUUACAGAUGUUUUGAAUUAUAAGUAUUGUCUGAGCUUACAGGUUUAUUGAGAUGUAAAAUGAAUUUCUUGUGACUGAACUUGAAUUUACAGAUGUUUUAAGUUAAAACAUAUAUAUGAACUUAUACAUAUAUUCAAAUGAAAGAUCUACUUAAUGAUUUAUUUUUACUUACAGAUGUCUUAAGUUAAAAGAACAGAUUUAUUCAGACGAAAGAUCAAAUUCUAUGUAUAAUAUGUAUGAUUAUACUUAAGCUCGCAGACAUAAUCAGUUGAUAGUUGUUAUCUGUUUAAUGACCGUACUUACAGAUGUAUUCAGAGGAAAGUGUUUACUAUUCAUUGACUGAGAUUACAAGAUUAUUCAGGCGAAAGAUGAAUUUCCAUUUAAAAUUGAACUUGCAGAAACAUUCAGUUAGAAAUUGUUUAUCCGUUUAACGAAUGAACUUACAGACGUACUCAGAUGAAAGAUAAAUUGGUAUUCAUUGACUCGUUCUACAGAUAUAUUCAUAUGAAAUAUAGAUGAAUAUACUCGAAUAUAUAGAUUCUUAAAGAUUAACGUUGACAGUUGAUGAAAAUUGAUACGAAAAAAGUUAUGUUUUGGGAAUGUGUAAUUAUCCUAAGACAAAUAAAAGUAUGCUGUUUUUGAAAGCUUUACUAUGUUUAUGGCUUUUUAUAUUUCAGACAAGUGCUAUUAAGCAGUGUCUGAGUGAAGUUGUGAUAUUAAGACAAGAGCUAUUGAGCAGGGUGUGAGUGUAGUUGUGAUUUAAGACAAGUGCUAUUGAGCGAGUCUGAGUGAAGUUGUGAUCUUCAGACAAGUGCUAUUGGGCAGGGUCUGGGUAAAGUUGUGAUUUUCAGACAAGUGCUAUUGAGCAGUGUCUGAGUGAAGUUGUGAUUUCAGACAAGUGCUAUUGAGCAGGGUCUGAUUGAAGUUGUGAUUUUCAGACAAGUGCUAUUGAGCAGGGUCUGAGUGUUAUUGUGUUUUUCAGACUAGAGCUAUUGAGCAGGGUCUCUUUCUUAGUUUUAGACAGGUUUGAGGAAUAGAAAGAAGCGUUAAAAGCUGGUUGUAGAAUGAUACAGAAAUGGUAUGCAAGGAAGACUUUACAGCCAGGUGUUGAAUAAACAGGUUCGAAUAAUCGAACAGUAAGGUAUUUUUGUUCAUACAGUCAGUUUUGAUUUCAAAGGUAUAGGUAUAUUUCAGUUAUAUCUAAAGUCUUGUAUUCAGGUUUCAAGAAACUUUUCGAAUAACAUAAUUUAGUACUCGGCAUAUUGAAUAACACAUUUUGGAAGUAAAUUGUAUGCCGUAUGAUAAUAUGUAAAAUUGCAGAUAAAAUCAUCAAAGGUUCCACGUGUUUAGCAAUGUUUUAUGAUUUUAUUAAAUAUGAAUAUCUCCACAAUUAUUAAAAAUUUAUAGGAUUAUUCAAGAGACACUCAAUCAAUACAGUGUGUCUGGCCACAGGAUGUGAUCUAUGAGGAGGAUUCAUCUUUGCUGUUUUAUAACAUACACAGGAACGGUAUAGGGUAACGGUAUCAACUAGGUUCGUUAAACUUUACUCUCUUUGUUUUAUCUCGAUACUUACUGCCAAAUAUUAGCCUUAUUCCUACUUUCUGUGUUUGUUUUAUUUCUUACUGUUAUAAAAGUUUAGAGAAUAAUUAAUUUACUCUCGAAUUUCAGAGAGAGUAAAUGAAAUUAUUCUCGGUACGACAAUAACAGUCUUUACGGUAUUGCUAAUUUAACAGUCUUUAGUGUAGUUCAUGUCUCGUGAUUAUCGUGCAUUUGUGUAUUGGGUAUAUAUAUACCAUUACAACGUGACUUUAAUUCAUCUUGAGGUUAAAUAUUUGGCAGUGAAGUUUACAAUAGUGUAUGCCCUACCCACCCUCCCCAUAUACUUAAGAGGUUUAAAGCAUUCUUAUCAAUCGAUCUAUAAUAGGUUAGAUUUUUAUAAACGAUUUUCUAGUUGUCUGCAUCUUUAUGGACACUAAGCGAGAAUGAAAUUAUUCUUACCCUAGUAUUUUUGAUUUUAUUUUUAUUUUCACAUACAGUUCUUUCACGGGCGGAGUUACUCAGGAGGAUAUGACGUUGAUGGUUUUACAUUUAAUCAUUUCUAGAAAUAGUUCUUUUUCAGUCCAAGCAGUGCACAGUUACUUGUUACUUUUAUUUUAGUUUACUUUGAAAUUUUGUUCAAUUCUAAGUUAGUUUCGUUUCAGUUUUCCAUUCCAUUCCAACAAGACUACGACAACCGGAACAGAUGAAUACUGAAUUAAACGUGUAUUGUGUUGAUAUAUAAUGUAAAUCGAUACUUACUGCCAAAUAUUAGCCUUAUUCCUA